GGUGUGACUAGCUAACAAGGCAUUUUGACGUUUGAGAUAUCCACGCGUGUAUUGGGUUGGGGUGGCUUUGUUAUUUAACGAGGGCCAAAGUUUGCUCUGCUACGGCUGUGAAGUUGGCAACUGACAUCAGCGCAUGCGCGACUACAAGUGAAUGAAUGAAAUUGUACAGGAUGUUUGGCCUAACGUUCAAGCACUUCGCUGUUGGGCAGUAACAUUUGAAUUGUAAAAAUUGCCAUUUAGUAGGAAAUCAUCUCAAAUGUAGUCUAAGCAGUAAUCUACACUCAUGUCUCCCACAGCUUGCUGAACAGAAGCAUGAGUGUGAAACCAGGGGUCUAGAUGUGAAGGGCAACAAAGUGGAACUGAUCACACGACUACAGGCUUAUCUGGAGGAACAUGCCAACAGCAUUUCAAGUGGACAGCAUGUGUGUGGGAAAUUUGAUUCUACAACCUCAUAUUCGGCCAAAAAGGAAUUGACACAUAGAUAGGUUCAACGUGAAGUACCUGGCCAUUCAAGCAAUGUAUAGGAAUUCUAGAUUCUAAUUCUAGAUCAACUGAAAAAGCACUAUGCCCAAGUGUGUAAAAACCGAGACUAGUUAAAGAAGCUACUCCUUGCUGCACUCUAUUUGGGUGAAAGUGAGGAUAUGGAAUUCAGGGAUUUCGAUAAAUACAAUGGCGGGUCCCUCCCCCAUGAAAUGUUGCAUUUCUCCACGAGCGGAGCAGCACACUCUCACCUGAGGUUGGUGCAUUUGUGAGUAAACAAGAAGAAUCGAAUGGUUUCCCAAAUGUCAACGGCAUGAUUGCAUGCAGUGCAGAAGCUCUUCUGGGUGAGAUAAAAGCAGAGAUCAGAAAAGCCCCAUUCUUUGCACUGCAAAUCGAUGAACGCCAGGACGCUCCGGCUGGGAAUGGCAACACUCCAUCAUGGUUCAGUACGUAGACAAUUCAGGAGUAUUUCCUGGGUUUCCAUCUGCACGAAGGGGGUGUUCUGACCUUAUAUGUAUGGAAAUGGCCGACCAUGACUGCGAAUAAAAAAAACUUGUGGGACAGUCUUACAAUGGAUGGGCCGUGUCUGCGCACAAGCUAAACAUGCAGACGGAAAAAGUGAGGAAGAUGGCCCACAACACUGUCUUCCUCAACUCCUACUCAAACCGUCUCAGCACUGUUGACAGAAGUAGAUAUUUUGUGAUCUGAGGCCGUUCCCCUCGUUUUUGUUCCCCACCGGCUGGGGUUCUUCAAUGAAACUUGGAGCGAGGUGAAUGCUGACCGACUGCCACUGGACGUCCUCAGUGAAGUGGCGAACACCUACCACGCAUUUUACGACACCAUCAACCACAUUGGGAACACGGAUUGGGUAAAGGGCGAAUCAUCCUAUGAAGCAAACAAUCUUGUUUCGAAACUUGAGGAUUUCCAGUUUGUGUUCCAGCUCUUCACCUACCGCAGGUUUUCUCCAACAUUGACGUUGCAUUUGACACUGAAGCACAAAGCAAUGGAUGUGGCAGCCUGCAAAGCAUUGAGGAGCUGGUUCAACACAUCCAGAGCAAGAAGUCUGACUCUGCCUUCGACAGCAUCUACCAGAAGGCUGAGAGAUUGGCUCAACACCCAUGCGAGAGUCUCAAGUGGACAGAUGACUUAGAUCCACUGACACACUUCAAGGCUGUGUACUACGAAGCUCUGGAAACCCUCAUCUCUCAGAUCCAGGUUUGUUACGCACAUCUGGAUGACCUACGCUUCCUCGCUGCUGGAUCCAGUGAAGUUCACUGACAUUAACAUCCAUUUCGCAACAGACGUGGUGGAUAGCCUGGUGAAGCUCUACGGGGGCUUCUUCAACAUGGACAGGCUCAGAGUGGGCCUGAAGGCGUUCUACAUAGGCCAAGGACAGCAGCAGGACAGCCACAAGCUCUGUGAAUUGAUCUUUUUCAUCCGGUCCCAGAAGAACCCACUACCAGAGCUUUACAAGCUGAUGUGCCUUGUGGCGACCAUUGGAGUGACCUCAACCGACGUGAAGGAAAGCUUCCCCUAGCUGAAGCGCAUUCAGGACUUCGUGAAAGGGGAAAAGCUGGACGAUCAGCUCCACCAGAACAUGGCCAUGAUGUGCAUAGAGAAUGAACAGUUGAGAGUUUGUCAGGAACUCGGGGAGCAGCACUGGUAUGACAAAGUUACGAACCUCUGGGGCAGAAAGAUCAAGGGAGAAGAUGAAUUCAUCACCAAGAUGGCUGCAGAAUGGUUUAAAGGACAGGCAGCAAAGAGGACCUCCACAGCAACAGAGGAAUCUCAGGAGCCACCAGUCAGGAAGCAUGAUGACACGUUUUUUCUCGCCUGAAUGAUCUGAAUCUAGAUUACAACACACAGGUCUUUCCAUCAUUGUAUGAUUUUUUUGUGUGUGUAAAUGAACUCAAGCUUACGGACAAUGUCAAGGUGGUGAGUUAUUCACAAUUUUUGAUGAACAAAUAAGGUUUUAUAUGUAAGAUGGCUAAAUAAAGAGCAAAAUUAUUGAUAAUUA